rnacentral:rRNA from 1 species
GAUGAACGCUCGCGGCAGGCUUAAUACAUGCAAGUCGAGGGGCAGCACGUUUCGCAGCCCUGCGGGAUGGUGGCGACCGGCAAACGGGUGAGGAUCGCGUACACAAUCUUCCCAGAGCAGGGGGAUAACCCGGGGAAACCCGGACUAAUACCCCGUAGUUUACUUUGAAGGCAUCUUUGAGGUAAUAAAACUCCGGUGGCUUUGGAUGAGUGUGCGUCCCAUUAGGUGGUUGGUAGGGUCACGGCCUACCAAGCCUUCGAUGGGUAACUGGUGUGAGAGCACGACAAGUCACACGGGAGAUACGGCACGGACCCGAAUCCUACGGGAGGCAGCAGUAAGGAAGAUUGGUCAAUGGACGCAAGUCUGAACCAGCCAUGCCGCGUGAAGGAGGAAGGUCCUCUGGAUUGUAAACUUCUUUUAUAGAGGGCGAAAAAAGGGUUUUUUAACGCACUUGACGGUACCUUAUGAAUAAGCACCGGCUAACUCCGUG